rnacentral:rRNA from 1 species
GACGAACGCUGGCGGCGUGCUUAACACAUGCAAGUCGAACGGAAAGGCCCUGCUUUUGUGGGGUGCUCGAGUGGCGAACGGGUGAGUAACACGUGAGUAACCUGCCCUUGACUUUGGGAUAACUUCAGGAAACUGGGGCUAAUACCGGAUAGGAGCUCCUGCUGCAUGGUGGGGGUUGGAAAGUUUCGGCGGUUGGGGUUGGACUCGCGGCUUAUCAGCUGGUUGGGGGGGUAGUGGCUGACCACGUCUUUGACGGGUAGCCGGCCUGAGAGGGUGGCCGGCCACAUUGGGACUAAGAUACGGCCCAGACUCCUACGGGAGGCAGAAGGGGGGAAUAUGGCACAAUGGGCGGAAGCCUGAUGCAGCAACGCCGCGUGCGGGAUGACGGCCUUCGGGUUGUAAACCGCUUUCGCCUGUGACGAAGCGUGAGUGACGGUAAUGGGUAAAGAAGCACCGGCUAACUACGUG